AGGGAUGUAGCUUAGUGAUAGAGCGCUUGCCUAUCCUGCAUGAGGCCCUGGGUUCAAUCCCUAGUACCACAA
rnacentral:tRNA from 1 species